AUCAUGUUGAUUCUGUCCACGAAUGGCAGGUAUAUAUCGUGGAAGUCCAACAUGAACAGCUUCCCUUCCUCCACAGCCUUUUUAUUGUAUUAAUAACAUGACAAGGGUCAGCUGUAAGCGAAAUGCUGUGAAAGAUGAACAUGAUUCAGGCGGGCCAUAAAUUGCAGGGUCAAGAUUGCUUACCGGAGGGAACGACUGUGCCAUAAUAGCCUUGUCAUUGUUUGCAACUCAGUUCAAUAUACAAGUGAUGCAGGGAGACAUACUGCUCAUGUGGGGUUACCUGAAGCCUCUCUAUGUUGACAGGGUUGAUCCCUGCAACCGCUUGCCGAGCAAAUUCAUCAUCCCGGAGCCAUGCAAACUUAUCCUCUACAGUGCAAACCACAUGAGCAUGUCAGCAUGAGAACUGGUUCUUGUUACAUACCAAAAUCACUCAUUAGGAUAUUAAUGUUAGACUGCGAGAAAGUCAUGACAAGGAGCAUGUUGCUUCACUUACUUGUGAGGAUGCUUGGGGUGUCAUAUCGAAGCAGACCCUCGCUCGAUUCUUGUAUCUUUUUAACGAAUGGGAGCUUCUUGAGGAGAUGUUCCUGGAGGCCAAGCUUCAGGAUGAGGCCCUCCUUGUAGAGGUUGUCGAUGUGGUGGAACCCUUUGAAGUCAUGGUUAUCAGCAGAGAUGGAUGCAAUGAGUGACGGGAUGAAGCUGUGCAGCACAGCCUUGAGCCUUCCGGCUGCGAAGGCUCCCUGUUUUAGCUCCUCGAAUGCCUCGUCGCGUGGCACGUAGAUCGGAUUUGGCUUCUCAACUCGACUCUCAGCUAGCAUGUCUGUGCCAUGAAAUGAUGCACGGUAAGUUGUUUCCUGACUACGCAUUAAUAUCAAGGAGUUACUCUCUAUGAACUUCACUUUUUUUCUGUCCAAGUGUUUGUUAAUUAUCAAUACAUGAAUACAACUUUUGGUGAAUCUGAAGGUGUAAAACUGACAGAAUCAGACAAGCAUCUGAAAGGGAAUAGUUUCUAGAUGAUAUGCACGUUGUUCUCUAAAAGAUUGCUUUUUAAGACAAUAAUUUAGUCACUCAUUCAUGGUGGGCCAAGUCGAUAUAUAAUCCAUCGAUCAUCCUCUAAAUUUGAUCUGUCACACGGACCACCACACUCAAUGAUUCUAAGGCUAUACAGUCAACUCCAAGUCAUGGAGUAAUUUCCUGUUUGUACUGUAGAACAAGUUGUGUAAGAGAACUCACUUGUGUCGGUAGGAGGACGGCCAGUCCUGCAUCGCCUUGGAUAUGGAAUCUUCUCACCUCCGAGCGUCGGCCUUGCAAACUCAGAUCCUCUGUCAGGAUUGCCCAAGUCAUUGUAUGUUGCAUAGUCAAAUAUUCUGUCUGAUAACUUCCGAAUGCCUUUUCCAUCCCCUCUGAGCUCAUUGAGCUCGGUUUCCCUGAGUUCCUUGAGUCCUUCAGGUGUCUCAGAUGGUAGAUAUGGCUGCACAACAAGUAUCAGAAUUCUUUAUGAUUAGAUUUCUUCAAUAACAGAUGAUGUGCUUAGAAUGCCUCCUAUUCUAAAUCAUGAUUAUUGAGCCUUAAAGAUUUAGUUGUGUUUCAAUCUUGUACAGAGAAUUCUCUGGCUAAUUUGGACAGGUCAUUAUAGAUCCAUUGAAUUAAUGCCAAGGAUAAUGAUAUGUAACCAUCGCAUCAAAUCAAAUGGCUGUCAAUAGCAAGCUAGAAAAAUUUGGUACCGACCUUAUUGCUGAAGAAAAUUCUCUUCUUGGGGUGGUCCUUGGUGGAUUGAACCCAAGAGUUGCAGGAGAAAUGAACUGGUCCACACGAAGAGGUAGAGCCUUCUCCUUCGAUGACUACACUCUCCAAGAAGAACUCUUUCUGGUGGCGGUUGAUCACUGUGAUUGCUCCUGGCUCCCCGAAGCUGGAGUCUACCGUGAAGUCUGCCGUGUACACCACACGCUCUCCCUUGACGUUCUUCUUCUCGAACCAGUCCUUGAUCACUGUUGCUCCGCUCGUCUUUUGCUUUUUGGUUCCUAUGUUACAGAAGCAAGCCCAAGAACAGUAAGUGAAUUGCAGAGGGGAGAUAUGAAACAAGGUUUAUCAAUCAUGGGGAAGCAGAAAGGAAAAAGGUUGUUUGCUCUUGCGAGAACAAAGAACAAAGUUCAAGAUGCCUACUAUUGGGGAAUUUGAACUUUCGAUCAUUGGGGAUCUGCAGAGUACUCCUAGAGGAGAUCAAGCAGCUCGAGGUUUAUAUGUAGGAACAAGCAUCUUAAGAUUUCACAAGGCUUACUCGGAUUGAUCUCGGUGCUGAUGAGUUCCAACACCACAUUCCGUCCAAACUUAUCCGUAAGAGCAUCAAGCUGGUUG